rnacentral:rRNA from 1 species
UACGUAGGGUGCGAGCGUUGUCCGGAUUGACUGGGCGUAAAGCGCACGCAGGCGGCUGGGCGCGUGGGGUGUGAAAGCUGGCGGCUUAACUGCCAGAUGCCAUCCCAUACGGCUCGGCUCGAGCCAUGCAGAGGUCCACGGAAUUGCCGGUGUAGUGGUGAAAUGCGUAGAGAUCGGCAGGAACACCUAGGGGGAAACCAGUGGACUGGGCAUCGGCUGACGCUCAGGUGCGAAAGCGUGGGGAGCGAACCGG